rnacentral:rRNA from 1 species
UACGUAGGGGGCAAGCGUUGUCCGGAAUCAUUGGGCGUAAAGAGCGUGUAGGCGGCUGGCUAAGUCCGCUCUGAAAGCCCGGGGCUCAACCCCGGGAGGCGGGUGGAUACUGGUCAGCUCGAGUCCGGAAGAGGAGUGUGGAAUUCCUGGUGUAGCGGUGAAAUGCGCAGAUAUCAGGAGGAACACCAAUGGCGAAGGCAGCUCGCUGGGACGUUACUGACGCUGAGACGCGAAAGCGUGGGGAGCAAACAGG